CUCUCAGGGCCUGUCAAAACAUGUGGUGCCCUUGCAAUAUGAUGUGAAUUAAAUGCCUUCUGGCCCCUGAAAUAUUGUUUUCAAGGCCAAAUGUGUACUUUCACAGUUUCCCCCUAGUAACUACUAAAAAACAUUUGAGACAUGUUGAUUGACUCCUACGAUUUGCAAAAAGAACUAAAAAACACUGCAAUGUGUUUUCAACAAAAAGCUAGGACACAUGCCUACUUGCAGAUUGUUGGUCACUGACAACUCCACCCACCAAGAAACUGGUCAACAUCACUUAAAGUUCCCCCUGAGAGAGAAAAGGCUGUUUACAAGAUUCCACAAGAACAAAUUUCAUAGCCAUUGGUUUGAUUUCUACUGGAUAUCUCCACGUUGGCAACAUCUUCUGCAAAGUGUUUGACACUGUCCCAUCCAUCCUGGUAACUAACUAGAGAAAAAUGGAUUUGAUGGAUGAACCACUCACUGGAUAAGGAAUUGGCUGGAUGGUUGCACUCAGAGAGUUGCAGUCAGUGGCUCGGUGUCCACGUGGAGUGUGAUAAUGAGUGGCAUUCCUCUGGAAUCGGUGCCGGGACCAGUGGUAUUUAACAUCUUUGUUGAUUAUAUGAACAUUAGGAUUAAGUGCAUCCUCAACAAGUUUGCAAACAACACCAAGCGGAGUAGUGCAGUUCACAUACUAAAGUGAAUGGAUGCCAUCCAGUGGGACCUACACAAACUUGAGAGGUGGUCCCAUGCCAACCUCAUGACGUUCAACAAGGCCAAGUGCAAAGACCUGCAUCAUGGUUGGAGCCGGCAUGAGGGGACAAUGUGCACUUGCAGCCCAAAAGGCCAACUGAUUGCAUUAAGACAAGCAUGACUAGCAGGUCAAGGAAGGUGAUUCUGACCCUCUACUCUGCUCUCAUUAGACCCCAUCUGGAGCACUUUGUACAGUUCUGGGGUCCUCAAUAAGGAGCUAUGGCAGCAGGCCCAGAGGAAGGCCACAAAGAUGAUCAGAGGGCUGGAGCACCUCCCCUGGGGGACAUGUUGAGAGCUGGGGCUCCUGGAGAAGAGAAGGCCCUGUGUGGACUUUUUAGUGGCCUUA
rnacentral:lncRNA from 1 species